rnacentral:rRNA from 1 species
UACGAAGGGGGCUAGCGUUGCUCGGAAUCACUGGGCGUAAAGCGCACGUAGGCGGAUCUUUAAGUCAGGGGUGAAAUCCUGGAGCUCAACUCCAGAACUGCCUUUGAUAUUGGGGAUCUCGAGUCCGGGAGAGGUGAGUGGAACUGCGAGUGUAGAGGUGAAAUUCGUAGAUAUUCGCAAGAACACCAGUGGCGAAGGCGGCUCACUGGCCCGGUACUGACGCUGAGGUGCGAAAGCGUGGGGAGCAAACAGG